AACGAAGUGAAUUGAAAUAUCUUAGUAACUUUAGGAAAAGAAAUCAAACGAGAUUGUUAUUUGGUGCAAACUAAAUAACAAGAGCCUAUUAACAAAACUUGUUAAAGUAAAAUGGAUUAAAAUCUGUUUGAAUAUAGGGGAACCUUCCUCUAAGGCUAAAUAUGAUAUAUAAGCGAUAGUGAAAAGUACCGUGAGGUAAAAUUUGAAAUAGUAGUUUUAUAAGCAGCUCGAGUGAAAAUUUAAAUAAGUAAUAAGAGUGUACCUUUUGCAUAAUGGGUCAGCAAGUUAAUUUUAGAUGCAAGCAAUGAUUUCGUGCGCUUUGCGCAUGGAACUAGCUUAGAUAAACCAAUUAUGAGAAAAUGAAUAAGUAUCUAGAAUUAGACCCGAAGGCUAGUGAUCUUACCAUGGUCAGGAUUAUAAAAGUCCGAACGGGUUAUCGUUGUAUAGAUAUCCGAAGAAUUGUGGUAAGUUAGUGAAAGACAAAACUGACUAGUAUAGCUGGUUUUCCGCGAAACCUAUAUGAGUAGGUAAUUUAACUAACAUCUUAGCAGGUACAGAACUGUGAUCUCGGACAAUAUCUUUUGAUUUUGUCAACAUCGGGGGGUUGUAGUGACUUUACCGGAGAGUAUUUGCACUCGGAAUGGCAAAGAUGAAUGUUGAAUAAUCGGACAUAGUGCGAAUAAGGUUGUAUGUCUAAAGGGAAACAGCCCAGAACAAGAGUUAAGGUUCCAAAAUUAUUGUUGAGUGAAAUUAAGGAUGUUUUUUUUAAAAACAAUCAGGAAAUAGGCUUAGAAGCGGCCAUUUUUUGAAGACCUCGUAACAGAGCACUGAUUAAUUAAAUUUAGAAAAAAACACCGAAAAUUUAACGGAUCUAAACAAUAUACCGAAACCUUGUACACAUAUUUAUAAUAUUAAUAUUGUAUAUGUGGGGUAGCGGAACAUUGGAUAAAUAUUAAUUAUUAUUUCUUCUAAGAAGUAAUAAGUAUGGAUUAUUAUUAAAAAUAUUUAUUUAUUAAAGAUAUUUAUGUAAUAUUAUUAUACUUAAAAGGUAUAAUGUUUAGAUGAAUAUAUAGAUAGAUUAUAUCUGUCUUUAUUAUUAAUAUAAUCCAUCGAUAUAAUCCAAGAGAGAAUGCUGACAUGAGUAACGAAAAAGGAAUAUCCUCGCCUUAAGCUUAUGGUAUUAUAUUUAAUUUUCGGUAUCUAAAAGUAUUAAUCAAAAGGUAAUUUUGAUGAUAUUUAUAUAUAAAUACUUAAAAAUAAAAAACAAAACCUUUAACAAGUAAUAAAGGUUCUGGAAAAAUUUUUAUUUUUAUUAAGUGAAGUAUAAUGCAAUAUAGGUAUAUUAUAAUUUAUAUAAUUUUCUUGUUACAAGUUUUCAAGAUUGUAUAGAUUUUAUCUAUAUUAAAUAUAUUUUCUUUUUUAUACUAUUGUAUAAGUAAGGUUUAUAUAUACCGUACCUAGAUACUAUCACAAGUAAGCAAGUAGAGAAUACAAAGGCGUUUGAGUGAACAAUCAUUAAGGAACUCGGCAAAUUGACUACCGUAACUUCGGGAUAAGGAGGGCCAUUAUGAUUAGUUUAACAUAUCUUAUGAUAUGAUUUAAUUAAACUAAUCAUAAGAGGAAACAUGAAAUAAUGUUGUACGACUGUUUAAUAAAAACACAGCACUCUGCAAAGAUAAAAUAUCAAAGUAUUGAGUGUGAUGUCUGCCCAAUGUCGGCUGGGUAACGGAUUUACCUUGGUUUUUAACUGAGGUUUUGAAGGAUACCCCGAUUAAUGGCGGCCUUACCUAUGAGGGUCCUAAGGUAGCGAAAUACCUUGGCCGUUAAAUGCGGUCCUGCAUGAAUGACUUAACGAUACAACAGCUGUCUCGAUGAUUGUCUCAGUGAAAUUGGAAUAGCAGUGCAGAUACUGUUUACCUCUAGAUAGACGAGAAGACCCUAUGCAGCUUUACUGUUACUAAUUGCAAGAGUGGAAAUUUAGGAUGAUUUCGAGUGUAUAAGGUAGUUGUUUGAUAACAAUGAAACACCUUUAUUCGUUUCCUACUAUAUGCUCUUGAGGAUUGGGAGGCAGUUUAUGCGGGGCACAGAUCCCACAAAAAGUACCUGGGUAUAUCCAAAGUUCAUUUUGUAAAUUUGUAAAUUUCUUUACAAAUAUUUUAAUUUGUUAUAAUUAUAUUCAUAAUUAUACAGUUAUUGUUAGAUUAAGUUCAAUAUUUAUUUUUUAUUUAAGUAAGAUUUUAACUAUAUGGUGAAUAGAUGUAUUUUAAACUUUACCCGGGGAGGGAGUGAUCCAACUCCGGGAUAUUUAAAAGUUUUUUCUCAUAUUAAUAUUGUAUUUUAUCUUUAUUGAUAUGAUAAUUAAUUAUACUUUAAAAGUUUAAUGGCUAAAUCUUGCUUUACUGUUUGACCUACAAGUCUAUCAGUCGCGUAAGCGGGGCAUAUGAUCACAAGAUGCAUAAAGGAAAGGUCUUGGAUUAUAGAAAAAGUUACGCUAGGGAUAACAGGCUAAUUUGCGCAAGAGAGUACAAAUUGAGUGCGCGGUUUGGCACCUCGAUGUCGGCUUAGCUCAUCCACAUGAAUGCAAAAAUCAUGAAGGGUUCGACUGUUCGUCGAUUAAAGAGCUACAUGAGCUGGGUUUAAUACGUCGUGAGACAGUAUGGUUUCUAUCUUCUAGAGGGAAUUAAAGUAGAAUAAAGAUAGCCCCUUCGUACGAAAGGAGUUGGGUAUAUUGACCUAUGGUUUACCUGUUGUUUAUGUUAUAUAUUAUUAUACAUAAUAUAUCAUUUACUUAUACUUAAGUAAAUUGUUCACAUAGGCAUGGCAGGAAGGCUACGUCAGUUAAAGAUAAGUGCUGAAAGCAUUUAAGCGCGAAGCUUACUUUAGGAUACUUUUAAACGUAGUAGAACACUACGA
rnacentral:rRNA from 1 species